rnacentral:rRNA from 1 species
UACGUAGGCAGCAAGCGUUGUUCGGAGUUACUGGGCGUAAAGGGUGUGUAGGCGGUUGUUUAAGUUUGGGGUGAAAUCUCCCGGCUCAACUGGGAGGGUGCGCCGAAUACUGAAUGACUAGAGUGCGGGAGAGGAAAGUGGAAUUCCUGGUGUAGCGGUGAAAUGCGUAGAUAUCAGGAGGAACACCGGUGGUGUAGACGGCUUUCUGGACCGUAACUGACGCUGAGACACGAAAGCGUGGGUAGCGAACAGG